rnacentral:rRNA from 1 species
UGCUCAGGACGAACGCUGGCGGCGUGCCUAAUACAUGCAAGUCGAGCGAACAGAAGGGAGCUUGCUCCCGGAUGUUAGCGGCGGACGGGUGAGUAACACGUGGGUAACCUGCCUGUAAGACUGGGAUAACUCCGGGAAACCGGAGCUAAUACCGGAUAGUUCCUUGAACCGCAUGGUUCAAGGAUGAAAGACGGUUUCGGCUGUCACUUACAGAUGGACCCGCGGCGCAUUAGCUAGUUGGUGGGGUAAUGGCUCACCAAGGCAACGAUGCGUAGCCGACCUGAGAGGGUGAUCGGCCACACUGGGACUGAGACACGGCCCAGACUCCUACGGGAGGCAGCAGUAGGGAAUCUUCCGCAAUGGACGAAAGUCUGACGGAGCAACGCCGCGUGAGUGAUGAAGGUUUUCGGAUCGUAAAGCUCUGUUGUUAGGGAAGAACAAGUGCGAGAGAACUGUCGCACC